GGAGGAGGACAGGAGAUCAGAGAGGAGGACAGGAGGUCAGAGAGGAGAGGAGAUCAGAGAGGAGGACAGGAGAUCAGAGAGGAGGACAGGAGAUCAGAGAGGAGGACAGGUGGUCAGAGAGGAGGAGAGAUCAGAGAGGAGGACAGGUGGUCAGAGAGGAGAGGAGGACAGAAGAUCAGAGAGGAGGACAGGAGGUCAGAGAGGAGAGGAGGACAGGAGGUCAGAGAGGAGGACAGGAGAUCAGAGAGGAGGACAGGUGGUCA
rnacentral:lncRNA from 1 species